AUUGAACGCUGGCGGCAGGCCUAACACAUGCAAGUCGAGCGAGCGGCGGACGGGUGAGUAAUGUCUGGGAAACCGCCUGCUGGAGGGGGAUAACUACUGGAAACGGUAUCUAAUACCGCAUACCAUCAGAUGUGCCCCGAUGGGAUUAGCUGGUAGGUGGGGUAACGGCGCACCUAGGCGACGAUCCCUAGCUGGUCUGAGAGGAUGACCAGCCACACUGGGACUGAGACACGGUCCAGACUCCUACGGGAGGCAGCAGUGGGGAAUAUUGCACAAUGGGCGCAAGCCUGAUGCAGCCAUGCCGCGUGUGUGAAGAAGGCCUUCGGGUUGUAAAGCACUUUCAGCAGGGAGGCGUUACCCGCAGAAGAAGCACCGGCUAACUCCGUGCCAGCAGCCGCGGUAAUAC
rnacentral:rRNA from 1 species